rnacentral:rRNA from 1 species
UACGAAGGGGGCUAGCGUUGCUCGGAAUCACUGGGCGUAAAGCGCACGUAGGCGGCUUCUUAAGUCAGGGGUGAAAUCCCGGAGCUCAACUCCGGAACUGCCUUUGAUACUGGGUGUCUUGAGUGUGGAAGAGGUGAGUGGAAUUCCGAGUGUAGAGGUGAAAUUCGUAGAUAUUCGGAGGAACACCAGUGGCGAAGGCGGCUCACUGGUCCAUUACUGACGCUGAGGUGCGAAAGCGUGGGGAGCAAACAGG